AUUUCAUUUAUUUAUUUAGCUAGUAAAAAAUCAAUUAAAUAAUUUGCUAAUAAAAUCAACCUUUUUUNUAUUUCAUUUAUUUAUUUAGCUAGUAAAAAAUCAAUUAAAUAAUUUGCUAAUAAAAUCAACCUUUUUUCCAAGAUAAUAAAUCAAGUACUUUAUCAACAUCAAGUAGUGUUCAUAAAUAUCUCACCACUUCACCAUUAAAUCAAACCCUUUUCAAAU
rnacentral:lncRNA from 1 species